rnacentral:rRNA from 1 species
GACGAACGCUGGCGGCGUGCUUAACACAUGCAAGUCGAACGGAAAGGCCCUGCUUUUGUGGGGUGCUCGAGUGGCGAACGGGUGAGUAACACGUGAGUAACCUGCCCUUGACUUUGGGAUAACUUCAGGAAACUGGGGCUAAUACCGGAUAGGAGCUCCUGCUGCAUGGUGGGGGUUGGAAAGUUUCGGCGGUUGGGGAUGGACUCGCGGGUUAUCAGCUUGUUGGUGGGGUAGUGGCUUACCAAGGCUUUGACGGGUAGCCGGCCUGAGAGGGUGACCGGGCACAUGGGGACUGAGAUACGGACCAGACUGGUACGGGACGCAGCAGGGGGGAGUAUUGCACAAUGGGCGGAAGCCAGAUGCAGAGACGCCGCGUGCGGGAUGACGGCCUGCGGGUUGUAAACCGCUUUCGACUGUGACGAAGCGUGAGUGACGGUAAUGGGUAAAGAAGCACCGGCUAACUACGUG